CCGUUUUAUAUACUUAACGACGUUGAUUGUUUUGAAUAUUAGUAGUUUCAAUUCUACCUUUCAUGUGUCAAGUGCUAGUGUCCAUUAACGGGUAAAAACGUGUUUACGCCUUUAAUCUCACUAUCGGUUUGUAAGAAUGCAUGUAUUUAGAUUCGUAGCUUGCAUUUUAUUCAUCGCGGAGCUCAUUAUUUUUUUUAAGCAAUGCGACGCUACAAGGCUUGAAGCUUCAUCAAGAAAUGUUAGUGUAUAUGGUAAAAUUGAUAAAGAUAUAAGCGACUGGACAAAUAUUAAUGAAGAGGUUGAUGUGGUAACACCAAUGGUGGUUGCACAUCUUCACAAGCUUGGAAUCGAACAUCUGCAGCUCCCAGACUUGAAUGAAACCUUAACAACAGCGUAACGCGAUAUUAUGAUGCGUUUAUGACAUAUCAGGGAAAGUCCUUUAUAAGCCAAUUUCGAUUAAAAAUAAAUAAAC